rfam:Daucus carota subsp. sativus cultivar DH1 chromosome 7, whole genome shotgun sequence.
GGGCUUGUGAUGAUAAUUUUCAAAUAUCUUAGCGGAUUUCAGUGAGAUAAUUACAUCCAUGAUCUGAUUGUUACACACACUGAAGCCC